CAGGCCUAACACAUGCAAGUCGAACGGUAGCAGGAAGUGCUUGCACUUCGCUGACGAGUGGCGGACGGGUGAGUAAUGCUUGGGAACUUGCCUUUGCGAGGGGGAUAACAGUUGGAAACGACUGCUAAUACCGCAUAAUGUCUUCGGACCAAACGGGGCUUAGGCUCCGGCGCAAAGAGAGGCCCAAGUGAGAUUAGCUAGUUGGUGGGGUAAAGGCUCACCAAGGCGACGAUCUCUAGCUGUUCUGAGAGGAAGAUCAGCCACACUGGGACUGAGACACGGUCCAGACUCCUACGGGAGGCAGCAGUGGGGAAUAUUGC
rnacentral:rRNA from 1 species